UCGCUCAGCAUUAUAGCGGGUUUUCAAAGGCGAAGACGGUCGUCGAUCUGGGCGGUGGCGUCGGCGAGACCCUGAAAAUCAUCCUCUCCAAGAACCCCCACAUCCGCGGCAUCAACUACGACUUGCCUCAUGUGAUCGCAACUGCUCCUCCCAUUCCUGGUAUUACGCAUGUUGGAGGAGACAUUGUAAAGGCCGUCCCUAAAGCAGAUGUCCAUUUCCUGAAGUCGGUUCUCCAUUGCGGGGACGAUGAGUUCUGUGUGAAGGUGCUCAAGAAUUGCUGGGAGGCAUUGCCGCCGACGGGGAAAGUGGUGAUUGUGGACGAGGUGAUCCCGGAGUAUCCUGGGACCGACGAUGUCUCACAGACCAAUUUCUUGAUGGACUUGAACGCUCUG